GGACUAGGGGUCCUCAUCGGAUUACCGAAUUCAGUCAAACUCCGAAUGCCAAUGACUUAUCCUUAGGAGUCAGACUGCGAGUGAUAAGAUCCGUAGUCAAAAGGGAAACAGCCCAGACCGCCAGCUAAGGUACCAAUGGUAUCAGUGGUAGGGGAGCGUUCUAAGGACAGUGAAGUCAGACCGKAAGGACUGGUGGAGUGCUUAGAAGUGAGAAUGCCGGUAUGAGUAGCGAAAGACGGGUGAGAAUCCCGUCCACCGAAUGCCUAAGGUUUCCUGAGGAAGGCUCGUCCGCUCAGGGUUAGUCAGGACCUAAGCCGAGGCCGACAGGCGUAGGCGAUGGACAACAGGUUGAUAUUCCUGUACCACCUCUUUAUCGUUUGAGCAAUGGAGGGACGCAGAAGGAUAGAAGAAGCGUGCGAUUGGUUGUGCACGUCCAAGCAGUUAGGCUGAUAAGUAGGCAAAUCCGCUUAUCRURAAGGCUGAGCUGUGAUGGGGAAGCUCCUUAUGGAGCGAAGUCUUUGAUUCCCCGCUGCCAAGAAAAGCUUCUAGCGAGAUAAAAGGUGCCUGUACCGCAAACCGACACAGGUAGGCGAGGAGAGAAUCCUAAGGUGUGCGAGAGAACUCUGGUUAAGGAACUCGGCAAAAUGACCCCGUAACUUCGGGAGAAGGGGUGCUUUCUUAACGGAAAGCCGCAGUGAAUAGGCCCAAGCGACUGUUUAGCAAAAACACAGCUCUCUGCGAAGCCGUAAGGCGAAGUAUAGGGGGUGACACCUGCCCGGUGCUGGAAGGUUAAGGAGAGGGGUUAGCGUAAGCGAAGCUCUGAACUGAAGCCCCAGUAAACGGCGGCCGUAACUAUAACGGUCCUAAGGUAGCGAAAUUCCUUGUCGGGUAAGUUCCGACCCGCACGAAAGGUGUAACGAUUUGGGCACUGUCUCAACCAGAGACUCGGUGAAAUUAUAGUACCUGUGAAGAUGCAGGUUACCCGCGACAGGACGGAAAGACCCCGUGGAGCUUUACUGUAGCCUGAUAUUGAAUUUUGGUACAGUUUGUACAGGAUAGGCGGGAGCCAUUGAAACCGGAGCGCUAGCUUCGGUGGAGGCGCUGGUGGGAUACCGCCCUGACUGUAUUGAAAUUCUAACCUACGGGUCUUAUCGACCCGGGAGACAGUGUCAGGUGGGCAGUUUGACUGGGGCGGUCGCCUCCUAAAGUGUAACGGAGGCGCCCAAAGGUUCCCUCAGAAUGGUUGGAAAUCAUUCGUAGAGUGCAAAGGCAUAAGGGAGCUUGACUGCGAGACCUACAAGUCGAGCAGGGACGAAAGUCGGGCUUAGUGAUCCGGUGGUUCCGCAUGGAAGGGCCAUCGCUCAACGGAUAAAAGCUACCCCGGGGAUAACAGGCUUAUCUCCCCCAAGAGUCCACAUCGACGGGGAGGUUUGGCACCUCGAUGUCGGCUCAUCGCAUCCUGGGGCUGUAGUCGGUCCCAAGGGUUGGGCUGUUCGCCCAUUAAAGCGGUACGCGAGCUGGGUUCAGAACGUCGUGAGACAGUUCGGUCCCUAUCCGUCGUGGGCGUAGGAAAUUUGAGAGGAGCUGUCCUUAGUACGAGAGGACCGGGAUGGACGCACCGCUGGUGUACCAGUUGUUCUGCCAAGGGCAUAGCUGGGUAGCUAUGUGCGGAAGGGAUAAGUGCUGAAAGCAUCUAAGCAUGAAGCCCCCCUCAAGAUGAGAUUUCCCAUAGCGUAAGCUAGUAAGAUCCCUGAAAGAUGAUCAGGUUGAUAGGUUCGAGGUGGAAGCAUGGUGACAUGUGGAGCUGACGAAUACUAAUAGAUCGAGGACUUAACCAUAUAA
rnacentral:rRNA from 1 species